UCAGGGAAUAGUUUUACCAGCAGAUGUAAAGAUCACCCUUUUGGAGUGGGUAGCACUCAAGGUCAGAGGCAGCAAAUCCUCCUCUAAAAAUAGACUCCAGUGGCAAAGUUGGUAAGAUUUCUUUUGUCGUUCUGCCACACUUAACGGGACUCAGCUACCCAGAGCACCCACCUAAGGUUACAGUGCAAACGCUGCUCUCCAGACAGCAUGUGCAUUGGCUUCUGCAAGGAGAACUUUCCAGUUUAUAAAGCAGCUCUCUGCUUAGUCAUACUCAAAAAGGGAUAAUAUUACUCCAUUGCUCCCCUCUGUAUGUGCAUCGCUUCUUCUUCCUACCCACUUGGCAG